ACGCGAAGAACCUUACCUGGUCUUGACAUCCACGGAAGUUUUCAGAGAUGAGAAUGUGCCUUCGGGAACCGUGAGACAGGUGCUGCAUGGCUGUCGUCAGCUCGUGUUGUGAAAUGUUGGGUUAAGUCCCGCAACGAGCGCAACCCUUAUCCUUUGUUGCCAGCGGUCCGGCCGGGAACUCAAAGGAGACUGCCAGUGAUAAACUGGAGGAAGGUGGGGAUGACGUCAAGUCAUCAUGGCCCUUACGACCAGGGCUACACACGUGCUACAAUGGCGCAUACAAAGAGAAGCGACCUCGCGAGAGCAAGCGGACCUCAUAAAGUGCGUCGUAGUCCGGAUUGGAGUCUGCAACUCGACUCCAUGAAGUCGGAAUCGCUAGUAAUCGUGAUCAG
rnacentral:rRNA from 2 species